AGAACCUGCUCCUCUCAAGACCAAGGCAGCCCCAGUGGUCAAAGAUGCAGAAGCACCACACAGAAAUGUGUCUCUCUCAAAGGAGAAGGUGAAGGUGGUGCCACUGAAGAAAGUUCCUGUAACUCCAAAAGAAAAAGUCAAACCAGCACCAACAAUAAAAGUAGCUGAAGUUGUAAAGGAGAAGAAGGCCGAGCCAGUGACACCCAAAAAAGCACCAGUUACCAAGGAGGCAAAACCAACACCUGCUGAAAAGAAGAAAGUGGUCAAGGAACCAAAAGAGAGCAUCACAGGAGUCUCUGCAAAGACAGCUGAGGUUUCUAAACAAAAGCCCA